rnacentral:rRNA from 1 species
UACGUAGGGUGCAAGCGUUAAUCGGAAUUACUGGGCGUAAAGCGUGCGCAGGCGGUUUUGUAAGUCUGUCGUGAAAUCCCCGGGCUUAACCUGGGAAUUGCGAUGGAGACUGCAAGGCUAGAAUCUGGCAGAGGGGGGUAGAAUUCCACGUGUAGCAGUGAAAUGCGUAGAGAUGUGGAGGAACACCGGUGGCGAAGGCAGCCCCCUGGGUCAAGAUUGACGCUCAUGCACGAAAGCGUGGGGAGCAAACAGG